AUUGAACGCUGGCGGCAUGCCUUACACAUGCAAGUCGAACGGUAACAGGUUAAGCUGACGAGUGGCGAACGGGUGAGUAAUAUAUCGGAACGUGCCCAGUCGUGGGGGAUAACGUAGCGAAAGCUACGCUCAUACCGAAUACGAUCUACGGAUGAAAGCGGGGGAUCGCAAGACCUCGCGCGAUUGGAGCGGCCGAUAUCAGAUUAGGUUGUUGGUGGGGUAAAAGCUCACCAAGCCUGCGAUCUGUAGCUGGUCUGAGAGGACGACCAGCCACACUGGAACUGAGACACGGUCCAGACUCCUACGGGAGGCAGCAGUGGGGAAUUUUGGACAAUGGACGCAAGUCUGAUCCAGCAAUGCCGCGUGCAGGACGAAGGCCUUCGGGUUGUAAACUGCUUUUGUACGGAACGAAACGGUGAGCUCUAAUACAGUUUGCUAAUGACGGUACCGUAAGAAUAAGCACCGGCUAACUACGUGCCAGCCGCCGCCGUAA
rnacentral:rRNA from 1 species